rnacentral:rRNA from 1 species
AUACGGAGGGAGCAAGCGUUAUUCGGAAUCACUGGGCGUAAAGGACGCGUAGGCGGGUUUGUAAGUCAGGUGUGAAAUCCUACAGCUCAACUGUAGAACUGCACUUGAAACUACAGACCUAGAGUAUGGAAGGGGCAGAUGGAAUUAGUGGUGUAGGGGUAAAAUCCGUAGAUAUCACUAGGAAUACCGAAAGCGAAGGCGAUCUGCUGGGACAUUACUGACGCUGAGGCGUGAAAGCGUGGGGAGCAAACAGGAUUAGAUACCCGAGUAGUCC